rnacentral:rRNA from 1 species
GAUGAACGCUGGCGGCGUGCCUAAUACAUGCAAGUCGGGCGAACAGACGAGGAGCUUGCUCCUCUGACGUUAGCGGCAGACGGGUGAGUAACACGUGGAUAACCUACCUAUAAGACUGGGAUAACUUCGGGAAACCGGAGCUAAUACCGGAUAAUAUAUUGAACCGCAUGGUUCAAUAGUGAAAGACGGUUUUGCUGUCACUUAUAGAUGGAUCCGCGCCGCAUUAGCUAGUUGGUAAGGUAACGGCUUACUAAGGCGACGAUGCGUAGCCGACCUGAGAGGGUGAUCGGCCACACUGGAACUGAGACACGGUCCAGACUCCUACGGGAGGCAGCAGUAGGGAAUCUUCCGCAAUGGGCGAAAGCCUGACGGAGCAACGCCGCGUGAGUGAUGAAGGUCUUCGGAUCGUAAAACUCUGUUAUUAGGGAAGAACAAAUGUGUAAGUAACUAUGCACGUCUUGACGGUACCUAAUCAGAAAGCCACGGCUAACUACGUG